AGUGAACGCUGGCGGUAGGCUAACACAUGCAAGUCGAACGGCAGCACAGUAAGAGCUUGCUCUUACGGGUGGCGAGUGGCGGACGGGUGAGGAAUACAUCGGAAUCUACUUUUUCGUGGGGGAUAACGUAGGGAAACUUACGCUAAUACCGCAUACGACCUACGGGUGAAAGCAGGGGAUCUUCGGACCUUGCGCGAUUGAAUGAGCCGAUGUCGGAUUAGCUAGUUGGCGGGGUAAAGGCCCACCAAGGCGACGAUCCGUAGCUGGUCUGAGAGGAUGAUCAGCCACACUGGAACUGAGACACGGUCCAGACUCCUACGGGAGGCAGCAGUGGGGAAUAUUGGACAAUGGGCGCAAGCCUGAUCCAGCCAUACCGCGUGGGUGAAGAAGGCCUUCGGGUUGUAAAGCCCUUUUGUUGGGAAAGAAAAGCAGCAGGUUAAUACCCCGCUGUUCUGACGGUACCCAAAGAAUAAGCACCGGCUAACUUCGUG
rnacentral:rRNA from 1 species